UGUAUCGAUGAUAUUUAGGCUCCCUCUACUGAACACUGUGAGGAGAUCGCCUCUGUUACACAAAUUAUGUCUGAGAUACU